CCUUGUACGUCAGCGUCAUGUUUUAUGUGAAUCAAAACCAGCUGAAUGUGUGAGGUUGUCAGGUUGUGUUCUAUGUUCUAGUCCUGUGGUCUGCUAUUUCAGAUGAUGCAGAUCAAUCUAACUAUAGAAUUGG